UUUGACAAAUAAAACACAUAAUAGCGGUUAAAUAGAUAGGAAAAAGAAUUUGGGCCCAAGUUUGGAUCUGUUCGCCUGGGCAAGCACUUGGGCCUAAUUUCAGUUGAAGGCUCAUUUAAGUCAUUUGUACCUGUCCUAUCCUAACAUAAUAGGAAUAUUUUCUCAUUGAGUCUUAGGCCCAAUUCUUCCACCUGUUCUAAACUAACACAUAAUAACAAUUAAAAUGACAAGGGCUUAGACCCAAAAUAACAAAAUACAACUUUGGAAUUAAGAGUGGCCAUUUGGCCCAAUCUUUUCAAUUUCCUGAUCUGUAGCAUGUUCAUUCAACUCUGGGACCUGUUCGUCGAUUUUUAUAGCUGGCUGACUCGGAUGAAAAAGGAAUUUGAGCCCUUACGGCUCUCCCGAAAUGUAAGGAAAAAUAUGAGAAUUCGUAGCGAACUCGGGCAGAUUUCACAUGCAUAAAAAGGGAGAAAAAAUUAGCAUAUGACCCAACCAAAAUGGACAGAGAAGAAUAUGCUAAAUUAUGCAAAGCAAAAAAAAAGAGAUAUGUUUAUACUAUCAUAUAAUUAAAAGAAAUCAUAUAAGGCCAAAACAAAAAGCUUAAAAGAACAUGGCUAAAGGACAUGAUGACUAUUUGAACUUAAUAGAUUAACAUGGUAGCUAGUGAAAUGCAACAGUGAUCGAAAGGCGAACUUCACUUAAUUACCAAAUGCUAUAGUGAACAAUAUCUUUUGAUGAAAAUUAAGUAAAGGUGAGCCAAUAGGGAAAGCUACUGACAUUACUAACAUAUACAUAAACUAAGAAGGACAACGUAACAAACUAAAAAGUAAAGCAUGAUAGGUAAAUCUCACAUACUACCCCUUUAAAAAGAAAAUAGCACACUUCAAUACUAUCAAAUUUAGUACAGAGAGCACUUAAACAAAGACAAUUUUAAGAAUAAACCCACACUUGGAUGUAAUUAAAACAUGCUUGCAACAAAGGGCACAUACUGGAGAACUCAGCCUGGAAAGCUAACAAAAAUAAAACCACCUACUUAACUCAAAGAAACAAGACAAGGAACAUGACCAAGAAGAAUAGACAAAUAACCUUAAACCCACUUCUAACAAGACUAAAAUCCAUUUAAAUAAAACAAGAGAUUUGAAACUCGGGCUGAAUCAACUCACAAGCAGUAAACCAUUUAAACAUCAAUGAUUAAGCCAAACGGGGAAGAGAUAAGCCGAAGAUUGCUCCAGGCUGUGAGAAGACGAACAUAGAAGGGAAAGAAUGAAACAACCAAGACCAUUUUAACGAAAGUGAUUUUGAUACAUGCUUUAAAAAUCGUUUAUUAGCAUGCUUCAAAAUUAAGACCGAAAUGACAUACAUGUGAAAACUUGGUAAAACAUAAGCUAAAUUUAGCGAAGCGAUCAAUACCAAACUAAUACUACAUUAGCUUCAAAAAACCAUCCCAAUACUAGUUGACAACAACAAAAUAGCACACGAAUCUUCAAAACUACCACACCUCAAAAAGCAAAAAAAAAAAGUGAACAAUAGGCAUCCUAUUUGAGAAUAAAGUCAAGAAAAAAAAGCAUAAUAUAUUGCAAUCUGGAAAUGGGGAAGACAAACUUUGCUUUUGGAAAUGGAUUCGACCAGAACAAACCAUAUAAAGAAUCAAAACGAACAGCAACAAUACAAUCCAAGAACUCAAACAAGGGGCAAAUAUAACACGUAGCUUGAUGUUGACAUCUCGGUUCAUUCAUUCAACUUGAGGUGAAAGAAUGAAGGAUAUGACAUCAAAUAUUGAGCAAUAAAGCGGAUUAAACAACGUUCAAGAGACAAGCUCAAUAAGGAAGAACAACGAAACAACACUCCAAAUAAAGCAGCAGAGAAACACCAACGAAUUUCCAAAGUUUAACUCGACAUUACGACUAAUCUCAUGAAGACAACCGAGAAUAUAAGCCUCAUACAUCAAUCUUAACAGCAGCAAACAGCCAACAACCAACAGAACAGUGAUUUCCCAAUAUUAACAAAACAAAAUAGAGAAAGAGAUGAAGAGAAAAGCCAUCGGAGGAAGUGCUACCUUUUCCGGGCAGCGAACAAGGACGGGACGAGCUGGGAAUGAAGCUUUUCCCUACACCACCAGCGAAAGACUCUAAUGGAAAGCUUGAAUUGUAAGCGAAUAACCUAAGAAUUUCGGCAAUACGAACAACUAUCACCCUAAAUUCUUUUGCUUACUUAUGCUCUGUAACUUGUAUCUUUUCUUGUGUUUUUCUCUCUAAAGUCGACCUAUUUUUCCAACCCCUAUUCAUGAAAAAUAAAGAAGGUUAUAUAGAGAGGGAAAUAGGUUGAAAUAAGGGGAAAACCGAGAGGGAUGGAUGGAUUUUUCGAAUUCGAAAUUCAAAUUUUCCUUAAGAGAUAAGGUUGCUCCUGGAAUUUUGUACGAAAAUUGUACAAAUUUAAACGGAUAAAGAACGGAGGCCGUUGAUAUUGAGCCAAGGACGAGUGAAUCGCGGAGAUCGUUCCACCUGGCUUGCUCGCGUACAACAGACGAGAACAAAGGCUACUUUUCCUAGAAAUCUCAUACGAAUGGAUAAGGGAGAGAAAGGGGACGCGGGACUAGAUCGAUUUCCUAGACUCGGGUCGCGCUGUUGUUG
rnacentral:lncRNA from 1 species